rnacentral:misc_RNA from 1 species
UGGUUCUGGCAUCGAUGAAGAACGCAGCGAAAUGCGAUAAGUAAUGAGAAUUGCAGAAUUCAGUGAGUCAUCGAAUCUUUGAACGCACAUUGCGCCCUCUGGUAUUCCGGAGGGCAUGCUUGUUCGAGCGUUAUUAUCAACCAUUAAGCCCAGCUUAGUAUUCAAUCCCGCCCUGAUCACUAGAGCGGAUUGUAAACCCAGUGGCCCAGACUAUCAAGCCGGGAGCGUAGUAACUAUAUCCUCGCCCACGUAGCUAGGUAGGACCGGGCCAGGAACCUCUCCUCAAGGUUUAACCUCGAAUCAAGUAAGAGUACCCGCUGA